GACGGUAACAGCCCGGUAGUUGAAAUGGCUUUCCCUCCAGAGUGGAUCCUGAGUACGGCGGAACACGUGAAAUUCCGUCGGAAUCCGGGAGGACCAUCUCCCAAGGCUAAAUACUCCCUAGUGACCGAUAGUGAACCAGUACCGUGAGGGAAAGGUGAAAAGCACCCCGGAAGGGGAGUGAAACAGUUCCUGAAACCGUGUGCCUACAAGUAGUUAGAGCCCGUUAAUGGGUGAUAGCGUGCCUUUUGUAGAAUGAACCGGCGAGUUACGAUUUGUUGCAAGGUUAAGCGGAAAAAGCGGAGCCGUAGCGAAAGCGAGUCUGAAUAGGGCGCAUAAGUAACAGGUCGUAGACCCGAAACCAGGUGAUCUACCCAUGUCCAGGAUGAAGGUAAGGUAAUACUUACUGGAGGUCCGAACCCACGCACGUUGAAAAGUGCGGGGAUGAGGUGUGGGUAGCGGAGAAAUUCCAAUCGAACUUGGAGAUAGCUGGUUCUCUCCGAAAUAGCUUUAGGGCUAGCCUCGAGGUAAAGAGUCAUGGAGGUAGAGCACUGUUUGGACUAGGGGCCCUUCUCGGGUUACCGAAUUCAGAUAAACUCCGAAUGCCAUGUACUUAUACUCGGGAGUCAGACUGCGAGUGAUAAGAUCCGUAGUCGAAAGGGAAACAGCCCAGACCACCAGUUAAGGUCCCCAAAUAUAUGUUAAGUGGAAAAGGAUGUGGGGUUGCUUAGACAACCAGGAUGUUGGCUUAGAAGCAGCCACCAUUGAAAGAGUGCGUAAUAGCUCACUGGUCGAGUGACCCCGCGCCGAAAAUGUACCGGGGCUAAACAUAUUACCGAAACUGUGGAUGAACCUCUUUAGAGGUUCGU
rnacentral:rRNA from 1 species